AUUGAACGCUGGCGGCAGGCCUAACACAUGCAAGUCGAACGAGUGGCGGACGGGUGAGUAAUGUCUGGGAAACUGCCUGAUGGAGGGGGAUAACUACUGGAAAAGGUAGCUAAUAACGCAUACCAUCAGAUGUGCCCAGAUGGGAUUAGCGAGUUGGUGGGGUAACGGCUCACCAAGGCGACGAUCCCUAGCUGGUCUGAGAGGAUGACCAGCCACACUGGAACGGAGACACGGUCCAGACUCCUACGGGAGGCAGCAGUGGGGAAUAUUUCACAAUGGGCGCAAUCCUGAUUCAGCCAUGCCGCGUGUAUGAAGAAGGCCUGCGGGUUGUAAAGUACUUUCAGCGUGGAGGCGUUACCCGCAGAAGAAGCACCGGCUAACUCCGUGCCAGCAGUCGCGGUAAUAC
rnacentral:rRNA from 1 species